rnacentral:rRNA from 1 species
UUCAGUACCUUAUGAGAAAUCAAAGUCUUUGGGUUCUGGGGCGAGUAUUCGCGCAAGCGAGAAAGUUAAAAGAAUUGACGGAAGGGCACCACCAGGCGUGGAGCUUGCGGCUUAAUUUGACUCAACACGGGGAAACUCACUAGUUUAAGACAAGAGUAGGAUUGACAGAUUAAUAGCUCUUUCUUGAUUUCUUGGAUGGUGAUGCAUGGCCGUUUUUAGUUCGUGAAUAUGAUUUGUCUGGUUAAUUCCGAUAACGAACGAGAUCUUAACCUGCUAAUUAGCGGCGAAUACGUUAUAUUCUUAUGUGAAAUUGAAUAUAGCUGAAUU